GGUUAAGCGACUAAGCGUACACGGUGGAUGCCCUGGCAGUCAGAGGCGAUGAAGGACGUGCUAAUCUGCGAUAAGCGUCGGUAAGGUGAUAUGAACCGUUAUAACCGGCGAUUUCCGAAUGGGGAAACCCAGUGUGUUUCGACACACUAUCAUUAACUGAAUCCAUAGGUUAAUGAGGCGAACCGGGGGAACUGAAACAUCUAAGUACCCCGAGGAAAAGAAAUCAACCGAGAUUCCCCCAGUAGCGGCGAGCGAACGGGGAGCAGCCCAGAGCCUGAAUCAGUAUGUGUGUUAGUGGAAGCGUCUGGAAAGGCGCGCGAUACAGGGUGACAGCCCCGUACACAAAAAUGCACAUGCUGUGAGCUCGAUGAGUAGGGCGGGACACGUGGUAUCCUGUCUGAAUAUGGGGGGACCAUCCUCCAAGGCUAAAUACUCCUGACUGACCGAUAGUGAACCAGUACCGUGAGGGAAAGGCGAAAAGAACCCCGGCGAGGGGAGUGAAAAAGAACCUGAAACCGUGUACGUACAAGCAGUGGGAGCACGCUUAGGCGUGUGACUGCGUACCUUUUGUAUAAUGGGUCAGCGACUUAUAUUCUGUAGCAAGGUUAACCGAAUAGGGGAGCCGAAGGGAAACCGAGUCUUAACUGGGCGUUAAGUUGCAGGGUAUAGACCCGAAACCCGGUGAUCUAGCCAUGGGCAGGUUGAAGGUUGGGUAACACUAACUGGAGGACCGAACCGACUAAUGUUGAAAAAUUAGCGGAUGACUUGUGGCUGGGGGUGAAAGGCCAAUCAAACCGGGAGAUAGCUGGUUCUCCCCGAAAGCUAUUUAGGUAGCGCCUCGUGAAUUCAUCUCCGGGGGUAGAGCACUGUUUCGGCAAGGGGGUCAUCCCGACUUACCAACCCGAUGCAAACUGCGAAUACCGGAGAAUGUUAUCACGGGAGACACACGGCGGGUGCUAACGUCCGUCGUGAAGAGGGAAACAACCCAGACCGCCAGCUAAGGUCCCAAAGUCAUGGUUAAGUGGGAAACGAUGUGGGAAGGCCCAGACAGCCAGGAUGUUGGCUUAGAAGCAGCCAUCAUUUAAAGAAAGCGUAAUAGCUCACUGGUCGAGUCGGCCUGCGCGGAAGAUGUAACGGGGCUAAACCAUGCACCGAAGCUGCGGCAGCGACACUAUGUGUUGUUGGGUAGGGGAGCGUUCUGUAAGCCUGCGAAGGUGUGCUGUGAGGCAUGCUGGAGGUAUCAGAAGUGCGAAUGCUGACAUAAGUAACGAUAAAGCGGGUGAAAAGCCCGCUCGCCGGAAGACCAAGGGUUCCUGUCCAACGUUAAUCGGGGCAGGGUGAGUCGACCCCUAAGGCGAGGCCGAAAGGCGUAGUCGAUGGGAAACAGGUUAAUAUUCCUGUACUUGGUGUUACUGCGAAGGGGGGACGGAGAAGGCUAUGUUGGCCGGGCGACGGUUGUCCCGGUUUAAGCGUGUAGGCUGGUUUUCCAGGCAAAUCCGGAAAAUCAAGGCUGAGGCGUGAUGACGAGGCACUACGGUGCUGAAGCAACAAAUGCCCUGCUUCCAGGAAAAGCCUCUAAGCAUCAGGUAACAUCAAAUCGUACCCCAAACCGACACAGGUGGUCAGGUAGAGAAUACCAAGGCGCUUGAGAGAACUCGGGUGAAGGAACUAGGCAAAAUGGUGCCGUAACUUCGGGAGAAGGCACGCUGAUAUGUAGGUGAAGCGACUUGCUCGUGGAGCUGAAAUCAGUCGAAGAUACCAGCUGGCUGCAACUGUUUAUUAAAAACACAGCACUGUGCAAACACGAAAGUGGACGUAUACGGUGUGACGCCUGCCCGGUGCCGGAAGGUUAAUUGAUGGGGUCAGCGCAAGCGAAGCUCUUGAUCGAAGCCCCGGUAAACGGCGGCCGUAACUAUAACGGUCCUAAGGUAGCGAAAUUCCUUGUCGGGUAAGUUCCGACCUGCACGAAUGGCGUAAUGAUGGCCAGGCUGUCUCCACCCGAGACUCAGUGAAAUUGAACUCGCUGUGAAGAUGCAGUGUACCCGCGGCAAGACGGAAAGACCCCGUGAACCUUUACUAUAGCUUGACACUGAACAUUGAGCCUUGAUGUGUAGGAUAGGUGGGAGGCUUUGAAGUGUGGACGCCAGUCUGCAUGGAGCCGACCUUGAAAUACCACCCUUUAAUGUUUGAUGUUCUAACGUGGACCCGUAAUCCGGGUUGCGGACAGUGUCUGGUGGGUAGUUUGACUGGGGCGGUCUCCUCCUAAAGAGUAACGGAGGAGCACGAAGGUUGGCUAAUCCUGGUCGGACAUCAGGAGGUUAGUGCAAUGGCAUAAGCCAGCUUGACUGCGAGCGUGACGGCGCGAGCAGGUGCGAAAGCAGGUCAUAGUGAUCCGGUGGUUCUGAAUGGAAGGGCCAUCGCUCAACGGAUAAAAGGUACUCCGGGGAUAACAGGCUGAUACCGCCCAAGAGUUCAUAUCGACGGCGGUGUUUGGCACCUCGAUGUCGGCUCAUCACAUCCUGGGGCUGAAGUAGGUCCCAAGGGUAUGGCUGUUCGCCAUUUAAAGUGGUACGCGAGCUGGGUUUAGAACGUCGUGAGACAGUUCGGUCCCUAUCUGCCGUGGGCGCUGGAGAACUGAGGGGGGCUGCUCCUAGUACGAGAGGACCGGAGUGGACGCAUCACUGGUGUUCGGGUUGUCAUGCCAAUGGCACUGCCCGGUAGCUAAAUGCGGAAGAGAUAAGUGCUGAAAGCAUCUAAGCACGAAACUUGCCCCGAGAUGAGUUCUCCCUGACUCCUUGAGAGUCCUGAAGGAACGUUGAAGACGACGACGUUGAUAGGCCGGGUGUGUAAGCGCAGCGAUGCGUUGAGCUAACCGGUACUAAUGAACCGUGAGGCUUAACCUU
rnacentral:rRNA from 1 species